rfam:Salmo salar isolate Sally breed double haploid chromosome ssa03, whole genome shotgun sequence.
UAUUAUUAUUAUUGUAAGUCGCUCUGGAUAAGAGCGUCUGCUAAAUGACUUAAA